CGUAUAAAAUCUCGAAUUAGUAAUAAUGAUUUAAUUUUAUUAAUGAAAGUUUAGGUUAAAGUGAAUUUAAAAUUUAAAUUUAAGGUUUAAAUAAUUAUAACAUUGGGUAAUAAUGAAUUUAUAUUUGAUAUGGUACUAGACUUAAUUUUAUUUUAAUAUAAAAUAUUUAUAAUAAAAGAUAUUUUUAUAAAUUAUUGCUACUAUAUAUUUAAAGAUUGAAUUCUUAAUAAUUAGCACCUAAUAGUAAAUGUUUUGUCCAAGGAGACUUUUCUGAUUUUAUGGCGGUUUAAUAAAUAUAAAUUUCUGGUAUUGAUAAUUAGUUAAUCAAAAUUUAAAAUGUAAAAA
rnacentral:rRNA from 1 species